rnacentral:tRNA from 1 species
AUUUAAGUAUUUUAAAAAAAAAUUUUGAUUUGUGGUGUCAAAGAUGUAAGUUUAGUUACCUUAAAUA